GACCAGGUUUUUGGAAAUAUGGUGUGUGUGUUGUAAUUGGGCAGCGGCCAGACAACCGUAGGGAUGGUAUCCACAGAUGAUGGGUUAUUUCUCUGUCUCAUUUGUCUACUGAUUCCAUCCCAAAUUU